rnacentral:rRNA from 1 species
GCUGACACAGCAAUUCGACGGAAAGCCCUGCAGCUUGCUCGGGUACUCGAGUGGCGAACGGGUGAGUAACACGUGGGUGAUCUGCCUUGCACUUCGGGAUAAGCUUGGGAAACUGGGUCUAAUACCGGAUAGGACAGCUGUUUAGUGUCAGUUGUGGAAAUUUUUUCGGUGCAAGAUGAGCUCGCGGCCUAUCAGCUUGUUGGUGGGGUAAUGGCCUACCAAGGCGUCGACGGGUAGCCGGCCUGAGAGGGUGUACGGCCACAUUGGGACUGAGAUACGGCCCAGACUCCUACGGGAGGCAGCAGUGGGGGAUAUUGCACAAUGGGCGGAAGCCUGAUGCAGCGACGCCGCGUGGGGGAUGAAGGCCUUCGGGUUGUAAACUCCUUUCGACAGGGACGAAGCGUAAGUGACGGUACCUGUAUAAGAAGCACCGGCUAACUACGUGCCAGCAGCCGCGGUAAUACGUAGGGUGCGAGCGUUGUCCGGAAUUACUGGGCGUAAAGAGCUCGUAGGUGNUUUGUCGCGUCGUCUGUGAAAUUCCGGGGCUUAACUCCGGGCGUGCAGGCGAUACGGGUUGACUUGAGUGCUGUAGGGGAGACUGGAAUUCCUGGUGUACGGGUGAAAUGCGCAGAUAUCAGGAGGAACACCGAUGGCGAAGGCAGGUCUCUGGGCAGUAACUGACGCUGAGGAGCGAAAGCAUGGGUAGCGAACAGGAUUAGAUACCUGGUAGUCCAUGCCGUAAACGGUGGGCGCUAGGUGUAGGGGGCUUCCACGUCUUCUGUGCCGUAGCUAACGCAUUAAGCGCCCCGCCUGGGGAGUACGGCCGCAAGGCUAU